rnacentral:misc_RNA from 1 species
GACACAGGGAUGCGUCCGACCAGACAUGUCCGGAGAACGCCCCACUGCGCACGACAGUCAAUCGUUUUAGCCACGGAUAGAAGARCAGGCAAACAGCCCGACUCUCAUCAUGUGUUCCACAUCCCCAAGCCACGUGUGAUCCCAUUGACCACGCAGGCAGCCCAAAAGCCGCCRGCUGGCUUCACRGGUCACACGGACAGGUUGCCCACGACCGAUUCUGAGAUCAKUCGGAGGGCAAAAGUCGYCGCGUGACAAUGAUUGCCGAUUUUUUCUUUGGUAAGCAACACAGGAAUACCGAAA